GGGAGUGUAAAGGUUUCGACAUGAUAAGAAGCAUUUAAUAAGCAGGCAGUAGCGAUACUAUAAAUCUUUUAAAAUUUAAACGGAAAUAAAAAAUUCGCUUUAGCUGCGUAAUGCAGCUUCGCUAGAACUAUGAUGCUAUUUAGUAGUCUCUAGCGUCACUUUAAAUAGCUAACCUUAGGUAAUGCUUAUAGCCUAUGGGAAAUUUAAUAAGCUAGUUUAUAGACAUCUGUUAUUCUAUUAUCUAAUAAACGAAAAAGUUAGAAUGACUAAGCUUGUAGAAGUUUAUUUGGACCCUUAUUAUGGACACGAGUUCGAUUCUCGUCACUUCCACCA
rnacentral:tmRNA from 1 species